rnacentral:lncRNA from 1 species
AUUCGAUCUUCAAUUUAAAAUAUUAACACUAGUGGAAACCACAAAAUCUUAUGUUAUACUUAAUAAAAGUAUGAAUAAACUCUUUAAGUAUUAGUGAAUCUAUUGUUUUGAUGGGAUACUCAUUCUACGAAACUAGUUUCAAUGAUCCAACCGUCAAACAUGUUUGUAUAUAUUUCGAGAUCGCAUAUGCCAAAAAUUGCAAAAAAAAACAUUCAGAGAGCACGUAACGGGACAAAACUUUUCGACGGUUAUAAACAAAAAAUCACGAUUUAACGGUUAAUUUAACUCCGAUUUUGAUGAUUUUUUACAACUACACUCCUUGACCUUAUAU